UACGGAGGGUGCGAGCGUUGUCCGGAAUCACUGGGCGUAAAGGGCGCGUAGGCGGCCUGAUAAGUAGGGGGUGAAAUCCUGCGGCUUAACCGCAGGGCUGCCUUCUAAACUGUCAGGCUAGAGCACAGUAGAGGCAGGUGGAAUUCCCGGUGUAGCGGUGGAAUGCGUAGAGAUCGGGAAGAACAUCAGUGACGAAGGCGGCCUGCUGGGCUGUUGCUGACGCUGAGGCGCGACAGCGUGGGGAGCAAACAGG
rnacentral:rRNA from 1 species